AGUGAACGCUGGCGGUAGGCCUAACACAUGCAAGUCGAACGGCAGCACAGUAAGAGCUUGCUCUUACGGGUGGCGAGUGGCGGACGGUUGAGGAAUACAUCGGAAUCUACUUUUUCGUGGGGGAUAACGUAGGGAAACUUACGCUAAUACCGCAUACGACCUACGGGUGAAAGCAGGGGAUCUUCGGACCUUGCGCGAUUGAAUGAGCCGAUGUCGGAUUAGCUAGUUGGCGGGGUAAAGGCCCACCAAGGCGACGAUCCGUAGCUGGUCUGAGAGGAUGAUCAGCCACACUGGAACUGAGACACGGUCCAGACUCCUACGGGAGGCAGCAGUGGGGAAUAUUGGACCAUGGGCGCAAGCCUGAUCCAGCCAUACCGCGUGGGUGAAGAAGGCCUUCGGGUUGUAAAGCCCUUUUGUUGGGAAAGAAAAGCAGCAGGUUAAUACCCCGCUGUUCUGACGGUACCCAAAGAAUAAGCACCGGCUAACUUCGU
rnacentral:rRNA from 1 species